rfam:Haemonchus contortus, ISE/inbred ISE, WGS project CAVP01000000 data, contig: Hcontortus_39451
GGCUCAAAUUUGAAGUAGAACAGAUUAGUAAGAUCAGCUGACUCUACUUAACUAUUCUAUUUCAAGUUUGUGCCC